CACGUAGGGCGCGAGCGUUGUCCGGAAUUAUUGGGCGUAAAGAGCUCGUAGGCGGCCUGUUGCGUCCGCUGUGAAAGCCCGGGGCUUAACCCCGGGUCGGCAGUGGAUACGGGCAGGCUAGAGGUAGGUAGGGGAGAAUGGAAUUCCCGGUGUAGCGGUGAAAUGCGCAGAUAUCGGGAGGAACACCGGUGGCGAAGGCGGUUCUCUGGACCACAACUGACGCUGAGGCGCGAAAGCUAGGGGAGCAAACAGG
rnacentral:rRNA from 1 species